rnacentral:lncRNA from 1 species
GUGCCGCCUGAGCCGGGCGGGCGAGGGCGGCGGUGGUCGGAGAGGAGGCGCCGAGGGGAGGGAAGCGAAGAAGGGGAGGCAGCCGGGGGGAGAAGUCUCCCACCUCCUCCUUCCCCUCACCGGCACCGCCUCCUCGGCGCUCCCCAGUGCCGGGGUGCCCGGGUGGGGCGGCGCUCCUGCUCCCUGCCGGGGGUCGGCGCGGCCGGAGCGGGCGGGGAACGCGGCCGGUGCCGUGCGGAGGGUUGUCAGCUGCUGGAUGCUGGGGGGUGUCACAUAGGAGCUAUUUGCCCACAAAUUGGAACAGUCCAGCCCUUAUCCUGCUAGUGUGCAAACGGCUUGGAAACCUUGUUCUGUCCUCGAAGCUGUAUUGUCCAUCACCAUAUGGGAUAAGGACUUCCUCCGAUGCGUUUUUCCAUCCCCCAAGUAUCUCUG